GACGAACGCUGGCGGCGUGCUUAACACAUGCAAGUCGAACGGAAAGGCCCUGCUCUUGUGGGGUGCUCGAGUGGCGAACGGGUGAGUAACACGUGAGUAACCUGCCCUUGACUUUGGGAUAACUUCAGGAAACUGGGGCUAAUACCGGAUAGGAGCUCCUGCUGCAUGGUGGGGGUUGGAAAGUUUCGGCGGUUGGGGAUGGACUCGCGGCUUAUCAGCUUGUUGGUGGGGUAGUGGCUUACCAAGGCUUUGACGGGUAGCCGGCCUGAGAGGGUGACCGGCCACAAUGGGACUGAGAUACGGACCAGACUCCUACGGGAGGCAGCAGUGGGAAAUAUUACACAAUGGGCGGAAGCCUGAUGCAGCAACGCCGCGUGCGGGAUGACGGCCUUCGGGUUGUAAACCGCUUUCGCCUGUAACGAAGCGUGAGUGACGGUAAUGGGUAAAGAAGCACCGGCUAACUACGUG
rnacentral:rRNA from 1 species